UGGGGAAUUUUGCGCAAUGGGCGAAAGCCUGACGCAGCAACGCCGCGUGAGUGAUGAAGGCUUUCGGGUCGUAAAGCUCUGUCGAGGGGAAAGAAAUGUAUUGUGGCUAACAUCCACGAUACUUGACGGUACCCCUAAAGGAAGCACCGGCUAACUCCGUGCCAGCAGCCGCGGUAAUACGGGGGGUGCAAGCGUUGUUCGGAAUUAUUGGGCGUAAAGAGCGUGUAGGCGGUUUGUUUAGUCUGAUGUGAAAGCCCUGGGCUCAACCCAGGAAGUGCAUUGGAAACUGGCAGACUUGAAUACGGGAGAGGGCAGUGGAAUUCCUAGUGUAGGAGUGAAAUCCGUAGAUAUUAGGAGGAACACCGGUGGCGAAGGCGGCUGCCUGGACCGAUAUUGACGCUGAGACGCGAAAGCGUGGGUAGCAAACA
rnacentral:rRNA from 1 species